rnacentral:rRNA from 1 species
AUCUACCACAAUGGACGAAAGUCUGAUGGAGCAACGCCGCGUGAGCGAAGAAGGCCUUCGGGUCGUAAAGCUCUGUCCUAAGGGAAGAAACGGACGGUACCUUAGGAGGAAGCCCCGGCUAACUACGUGCCAGCAGCCGCGGUAAUACGUAGGGGGCGAGCGUUAUCCGGAAUUACUGGGCGUAAAGGGUGCGUAGGCGGCCUUUUAAGUCAGAUGUGAAAGGCUACGGCUUAACCGUAGUUAGCAUUUGAAACUAAAAGGCUUGAGUGCAGGAGAGGAGAGUGGAAUUCCUAGUGUAGCGGUGAAAUGCGUAGAUAUUAGGAGGAACACCAGUGGCGAAGGCGACUACCUGGACGAAAACUGACGCUGAUGCACGAAAGCUAGGGGAGCAAA